rnacentral:ncRNA from 1 species
UUGUCUUCAGGGCAGGGUGAGAUUCCUGACCGGCAGUCAUAGCCUGCGAGCCGCCAAGCGGUUGAUUCGGUGAAAAUCCGAAGCCGACGGUAUAGUCCGGAUGUGAGAAGAUG